rnacentral:rRNA from 1 species
GACGAACGCUGGCGGCGUGCUUAACACAUGCAAGUCGAACGGAAAGGCCCUGCUUUUGUGGGGUGCUCGAGUGGCGAACGGGUGAGUAACACGUGAGUAACCUGCCCUUGACUUUGGGAUAACUUCAGGAAACUGGGGCUAAUACCGGAUAGGAGCUCCUGCUGCAUGGUGGGGGUUGGAAAGUUUCGGCGGUUGGGGAUGGACUCGCGGCUUAUCAGCUUGUUGGUGGGGUAGUGGCUUACCAAGGCUUUGACGGGUAGCCGGCCUGAGAGGGUGACCGGCCACACUGGGACUGAGAUACGGCCCAGACUCCUACGGGAGGCAGCAGUGGGGAAUAUUGCACAAUGGGAGCAAGCCUGAUGCAGCCAUGCCGCGUGUAUGCAGAAGGCCUUCGGGUUGUAAAGGACUUUCAGCGGGGAGGAAGGGAGUAAAGUUAAUCCCUUUGCUCAUUGACGUUACCCGCAGAAGAAGCACCGGCUAACUCCGUGC